rnacentral:rRNA from 1 species
UUCCGGUUGAUCCUGCCGGAGGCUAUUGCUAUCAGGGUUUGACUAAGCCAUGCGAGUCGAGAGGUGAAAGACCUCGGCAUACUGCUCAGUAACACGUGGAUAAUCUGCCCUCAGGUGAGGAAUAAUCCCGGGAAACUGGGGCUAAUGCCUCAUAGGAGACGGGUGCUGGAAUGCUCUGUCUCCGAAAGGUCCGCCGCCUGAGGAUGAGUCUGCGUCCGAUUAGGUUGUUGUUGGGGUAACGGCCCAACAAGCCUUUGAUCGGUACGGGUUGUGGGAGCAAGAGCCCGGAGAUGGAUUCUGAGACAUGAAUCCAGGCCCUACGGGGCGCAGCAGGCGCGAAAACUUUACAAUGCGAGCAAUCGUGAUAAGGAAACCCUGAGUGCCUGUCAAUGCAGGCUGUUCUGGUGUCUAACACACACCAGGAGAAAGGGCGGGGCAAGACCGGUGCCAGCCGCCGCGGUAAUACCGGCUGCUCGAGUGAUAGCCACUUUUACUGGGCUUAAAGCGUUCGUAGCUUGGUCGUUAAGUCUCUGGGGAAAUCUUUUGGCUCAACCAAAAGGCGUCUCAGGGAAACUGACGAUCUUGGAACCGGGAGAGGUAAGACGUACUUCGGGGGUAGGAGUGAAAUCUUGUAAUCCCCGAGGGACGACCGAUGGCGAAGGCAUCUUACCAGAACGGCUUCGACAGUGAGGGACGAAAGCUGGGGGAGCAAACCGGAUUAGAUACCCGGGUAGUCCCAGCCGUAAACGAUGUGCGUUAGGUGUGUCAGUGACCACGAGUCGCUGAGGUGCCGAAGGGAAACCGUGAAACGCACCGCCUGGGAAGUACGGUCGCAAGGCUGAAACUUAAAGGAAUUGGCGGGGGAGCACCACAACGGGUGGGGCCUGCGGUUUAAUUGGAUUCAACGCCGGG